rnacentral:rRNA from 1 species
AACAAAAACAUGUCCUUUUGAGUUGAAUUUGAGGUCGGGCCUGCCCACUGACGUUUAGUUGAAGGGCCGCGGUAUUUUGACCGUGCAAAGGUAGCAUAAUCAUUAGUCUUUUAAUUGAGGGCUAGAAUGAAUGGUUUAACGAGAUACUAACUGUCUCUUUAUAAUAAGUGGAAUUUAACUUCUAAGUUAAAAGGCUUAGAUGAAUAUAAAAGACGAGAAGACCCUAUAGAUCUUUAUAUAAUAUUAUGUUUAUUAAUUUGGCUGUAUUUAUUGUGGAUGUGAUAUUGUAUUUUGUUGGGGUGACAUAAAGACAGGUGUAGCUCUUUAUAAUGGGAACAUUGAUUUAUGAUUGGAUGAUCCGUUAUUAGCGAUUAUAAGAUAAAGUUACCUUAGGGAUAACAGCGUAAUUUUUUUUGAGAGUUCAUAUCGACAAGAAAGAUUGCGACCUCGA